CCCCACCCACAUCCAAGAACAGAUCCACUCAAACACACCAACAGAACCUGGACCAGGUACCUUCUAUCUUCUUCCCAAAAUACACAAAGCAGAAAAUCCAGGACGCCCCAUCAUCUCAGUGAGACCAGCCAAUGAAGCUGACCAGUAGAACUUCAGGACCUUGAUGCAGUACCAUGAAUCUAAAAGAACAGGUGAUUGUUGUGAAAUUCAAGAAAGGACACCACCACUACCUCUCAAAAAUGUGCCAAGUGGUCA